rnacentral:rRNA from 1 species
ACCUUCGGGUGAGCGGCGGACGGGUUAGUAACGCGUGGGAACGUGCCCUUCACUACGGAAUAGCCUCGGGAAACUGAGAGUAAUACCGUAUACGCCCUAUUGGGGAAAGAUUUAUCGGUGAAGGAUCGGCCCGCGUUGGAUUAGGUAGUUGGUGGGGUAACGGCCUACCAAGCCGACGAUCCAUAGCUGGUUUGAGAGGAUGAUCAGCAACACUGGGACUGAGACACGGCCCAGACUCCUACGGGAGGCAGCAGUGGGGAAUCUUAGACAAUGGGGGCAACCCUGAUCUAGCCAUGCCGCGUGAGUGAUGAAGGCCUUAGGGUUGUAAAGCUCUUUCAGCUGGGAAGAUAAUGACGGUACCAGCAGAAGAAGCCCCGGCUAACUCCGUGCCAGCAGCCGCGGUAAUACGGAGGGGGCUAGCGUUGUUCGGAAUUACUGGGCGUAAAGCGCACGUAGGCGGACAGGAAAGUUGGGGGUGAAAUCCCGGGGCUCACCCCGGAACUGCCUCCAAACUAUCUGUCUGGAGUUCGAGAGAGGUGAGUGGAAUUCCUAGUGUAGAGGUGAAAUUCGUAGA